GACGAACGCUGGCGGCGCGCUUAACACAUGCAAGUCGAGCGAUGAAAUUUCGACAGAUCCCUUCGGGGUGAAGAUGAAAUGGAUUAGCGGCGGACGGGUGAGUAACACGUGAGUAACCUGCCUUUGACAUUGGGAUAGCCUCGGGAAACUGGGAUUAAUACCAAAUGACACUAACUGAUCACAUGAUCAAUUAGUCAAAGAAAUUCGGUCAAAGAUGGACUCGCGGCUGAUUAGCUAGUUGGUGAGGUAACGGCCCACCAAGGCGACGACCAGUAGCCGGCAUGAGAGGCUGGUCCGCCACAUUGGAGCUGAGACACAGUCCAAACUCCUACGGGAGGCAGCAGUGGGGAAUAUUGCACAAUGGGGGAAACCCUGAUGCAGCGACGCCGCGUGAGCGAAGAAGGCCUUCGGGUCGUAAAGCUCUUUUAUGAGGGAAGAUAAUGACGGUACCUCAAGAAAAAGCCCCGGCUAACUACGUG
rnacentral:rRNA from 1 species